UAGGCAAAAGCCCGCUGGAUUGGGUGUUUAGCUGUUAAUUAAAUUAUCAUGGGAUCGAAGCCCAUUUGUCUAG
rnacentral:tRNA from 2 species